GACGAACGCUGGCGGCGUGCUUAACACAUGCAAGUCGAACGGAAAGGCCCUGCUUUUGUGGGGUGCUCGAGUGGCGAACGGGUGAGUAACACGUGUGUAACCUGCCCUUGACUUUGGGAUAACUUCAGGAAACUGGGGCUAAUACCGGAUAGGAGCUCCUGCUGCAUGGUGUUGGUUGGAAAGUUUCGGCGGUUGGGGAUGGACUCGCGGCUUAUCAGCUUGUUGGUGGGGUAGUGGCUUACCAAGGCUUUGACGGGUAGCCGGCCUGAGAGGGUGACCGGCCACAUUGGGACUGAGAUACGGCCCAGACUCCUACGGGAGGCAGCAGUGGGGAAUAUUGCACAAUGGGCGGAAGCCUGAUGCAGCAACGCCGCGUGCGGGAUGACGGCCUUCGGGUUGUAAACCGCUUUCGCCUGUGACGAAGCGUGAGUGACGGUAAUGGGUAAAGAAGCACCGGCUAACUACGUG
rnacentral:rRNA from 1 species